UGACGGUACCUAACCAGAAAGCCACGGCUAACUACGUGCCAGCAGCCGCGGUAAUACGUAGGUGGCAAGCGUUGUCCGGAAUUAUUGGGCGUAAAGGGCUCGCAGGCGGUUUCUUAAGUCUGAUGUGAAAGCCCCCGGCUCAACCGGGGAGGGUCAUUGGAAACUGGGGAACUUGAGUGCAAAAAAGGAAAGGGGAAUUCCACGUGUAGCGGUGAAAUGCGUAAAGAUGUGGAGGAACACCAUUGGCGAAGGCGACUCUCUGGUCUGUAACUGACGCUGAGGAGCGAAAGCGUGGGGAGCGAACAGGAUUAAAUACCCUGGUAGUCCACGCCGUAAACGAUGAGUGCUAAGUGUUAGGGGGUUUCCGCCCCUUAGUGCUGCAGCUAACGCAUUAAGCACUCCGCCUGGGGAGUACGGCCGCAAGACUGAAACUCAAAGGAAUUGACGGGGGCCCGCACAAGC
rnacentral:rRNA from 2 species